AAUUUCCAAGUGAAAAGUUAUCUGGAGCCUGGAGUAUGGAAACAUAUGUGUAACUCAACACCUCAUGGAAUCUGGAUAAGAAUCAACCCGCCAUUUGGGAGAAACCAUAAGAUGAAGUCAUAGCCCCUUCUUUGACCACCUAGGGAAACCACCACAGCCACAGUCAAGUCAACAUUGGGAGUAAGUCAUUUUUGGGAACAAGCUUUUGGGAGUAUUCCAGCUCCUUUUCGUCCUGCCACCUGGGCCUACGGAGGGCAUGGGACCGCAUCAUCUUGAUGCUCAUUUCUGAGGAUGCAGCAGCAACCUCUUUAGGAGUCGUUUGGGAACAUUUAGUGUUGUGUUUUAAGUAACUAUGGUUUUUAUAUAUCAGACAUUUAUUUGAUACAUUAUGUUUAUUAAUUAUUUUUUUCAGAUUUAGCGUACAUUUGUUUUUAUAUGACAUAUUUGUAUACUAUUGUAUUUGGUUCCCAAACUUUGUAUCUACGGUAACUUCUUGUGCACAGGAAUAAGCCUAGAGAAAAUUAGGUUUUUAAUACUUUAUUAUUGCUUUGAUAUUGGUUUAUGUAAUUCGGGUAAAUUUAUUUUUUAAUAUUACUAGCUUGUUUCCCAAAUAUUUUACUGUUAUUCGCUUUAUUCCAUUUGUUCGGUUAAUUUAGGUCAUCGUCGGUAUUUAUCUCAACUUCAUUUCUACUUUAGUCAAUUGUAUAUUUAACUUUAUUUAUUCAUUAUUGUAUUUUCCCUUAGUGAGGCUUGGGCCUAUUUAUUUGUAGUAUUUUCAUCUUUGUCAGUUUCCUUUAGUUGUACGUAGCGGGCGUACUAUAACCAUUUGGUAGAAGACAUAUGUAAUUUUGUACACUAUAUGUAAGUAAGAGGUACUUAUACCUGUAAUUUUGUAACAGAUAACAUUAUUGUUGUUAUCUUAGAGAUAACUUUUUGUAUAACUUAUGUCAUUUUAGAGUCACAUGAUAUACACUUUGUGUAACUCAGAGAUUGUCAAAAAUCUAGUAGUUAUUUUUAAUAAAUAUGUAUUUAUUUUGUA